rnacentral:lncRNA from 10 species
ACGGAGAGCUAGUGUAGCAGGACGAGUUGCAGACAAAACUCCUCAGACACCAGAUUAAAGAAGGAAGAGGUUUUUUUAUUCAGCCAGGAGCGUUGGCAGACUGGUGUCUUAAGAGCCGAGCUCCCGGAAAAAGAAAUUCCUAGCCCUUUUAAGGGCUUACAACUCUAAAGGGUCUACGUGAAAAAGUCAUAAUAGAUCAAGUAAGCCUGAGGAACGUGACUGGGGGCUACAAACAUCAGCUAACAGAACAAAAAGUUUUUACAGUGCUUUCUCAUACAAUGUCUGGGAUUUACAGAUAACACAGGUAGUUUUGGUCAGGGGUUAAUAUUAUUGUUGUUUUAACCACCGGGGCCAGGUGGUGGCGCCAAGGUCGUCUAGCUAUUUAUUUUACUUCUGUUUUUUCCAACUUUUUGCUUUCUCCCUUUUUUGCUGUCUUACAAACUAGGGAAAAGGGGAGGUUGGGGAGAAACUGGGAAGGACAACAGGAGAAGUGGUGGUCUCAUACCAUAUUUCCCCCCUUUGAGCAUUUUCACUUUUUAGUGGGAGUUCUCACUCUCAUCUUUACUUUUUGAGUCUAUUUGUGAGAUAGAGCGAUAGUGAUUUAUAUAACACACGUGUGCUGAAGUUUUCUGAUGAACCAAAGUAGCUACAAAACCUUUGAUCAUUUGAAAAAGCAAGGGUAAUACACAGGGGAGCAGCAAGCAAGUUCCUAUCACUAGCAAUACACCUACAAUGAGGGUUUUAAAUCCUCUUAUAGCUGGAAACCAUUUUUCAAAUAAAGACUCAGGAUUAAACUCGUGCCAAACCUGUACAGGCACAUGUGCCACCUUUGUCAUGUCCCUGACUAUGUUUUUAACCACCUGUCCUUGAUCAUUUAUUUGUAGGCAGCAAUUGGUUAAGUUAAAUUUUCUACAAACUCCUCCUUCAGCUACUAGCAAGUAGUCUAAGGCCAGUCUAUUCUGAUAGAUAGCAUUCCUCAUUUGGGUUUCUUGCCAAGCUAAAACAGUCAAAGCUCUGCCAGUUUCAUUAGAAAUUAUUUCUAAGAUGACCUGCAACCGUAUGAUCCAAUUGAGCAUGUAGAUGGGUUCGGUAUCCCCAUGAGCCAUCUUGUGCCCAUGUGGCAGGCCCAUAAUACUGAAUGAUCCUUUCACGGGGCCACUCAUUAUCUUUCCAGUUUCCUAUAACUAUGCCUUUCUUUUCUCGGGAGGCGUAGACAGAGAAACCUAGCAGCUCACCCAUUUUUAUGGGUAAUAAGAAAAAGGAUGGCUUAAUAGUGCCAAUAACACAACUGUCUGCCCAUUUAUUAGGUAACCGAAAGUAGGCUCUGUGCCUACAUAUCUAGUAUAGUCCAGAGGGAACUGUCCAGUCCUGAUGAGAUUCUGGAUGAGCCUAAGCAGUUUUUAAUUUAGAAAAUUUACUAAAUGGAUUCUUUUCAGUGUGGUUUAGGUCCUACUAAGUAAUUGUCUUUGUUGUGCUGUUAUACAACUUCUGUCCUAUACAAUUAGGCUUUCCUACAGGGAUGAUAAAGUCUUUCCCUUCUCUAGCUAUACAGUAUUGUCUAAUAAUUGAGGUUUUUAGGACCUAGAAGUUGCUAGCUUCGGCCUUCUAAACUGGAAUUAUAUCAGGAGCUGGAUCAGUAGGCACCAACUCUCGGGCUUCCCAAGGCCAUCUGUCUCCGAUAGUGGUUCCUCCGCGUACAUAACAAGAAGUAACAUUAAGUAAGAAAAUUACAUUUUCUGCUAAUUGGAGAAACAAAUUUUUUGUCUUUUUCAGAAGUUCUGGUGCUGGCAGAUUCAGCUCCUCAUAAAAGGUUUGAAAUACUGGUUUGGGAGAGCACUUGUGGACCUCCCCUCUAAUUAAAAUGACAACUUGAGGGUUUAACCCUGUCCUAUUGAUCCCCAGGGUUACACGUUCUCCCUUUUUCCAAUGGGGAUCUAGGGGAUUGGUAAUUAUUAGUUCUAGUGGGUUACAGUGACCGGCAGCACAGGAGGGGUUGGCUUCCCCCUUCUGAAGAUAAACCGGGUCCUUUUUGUUCUUUUUUAAAGUAGCCUAAAUAACACAUGGCCAAUAGGCACAAUUUUUACAAACCCCUGACUCAUGACAAACAUUUAUUUCUACUCUUUAGCUCCUUUCUCAGUUAAGAGAACCACAUCCUAUUUCUAGCUUUUUACUAUUAAUGGCUGCACAAGCAUCAAAUCUUAAAGUUAUUUGCUUGGGGAUUUCUUUUUCUUCUGUUCUAGUUAUUAUUUUACUUGUAUCACCUAGGAAAAGGCCAGUUCUUAUUCUUAUUUCAAAAACGGUGGUGCAGGGGGCUCAGAUGGGUUAUAACACACAUCAGGUCGGUCAUUUCUCGGGCUACAUACCUUGUACUGAGUGGCAUUAUACAAACAAGUUUCUCUUAUUGUUUCCAUACAUUCAUAAUAACUAUAGAACAGAAAGAUUGUUUUAAUUUGCUGUCCUGCUUCGGUGACCUGAUGAAUACACUGGGAACAGUCCCCAGUUUGAGUAAGGUCAGUUGAAGCCCUUACUGUAUAAGUCCAAAAUUUAAGAAAAAUGAAUCUCAUGAUGAGCUUCCUCAGGCUUCGGCCGUGCUUGGACUAGUCAGCUUCCGGGUGACUGGAGCAGGGCUUGUCAUCUUCUUCAGGGUCACUCUGCAAGGGUUAUCUGGGCUUGGUCUUGCCUCCCAGGUUUCAGGCGCUGCAGGUUUUAUAUGGCUGUGUUGGAUCCAGGCUGGGAUUCCUUCCACCUUCACAGCGGUGGGAGUGCUCAGGACGACAAUCUGGGGUCCUUUCCACCGUGGACACAAACAGGCAACUUUCCAGUCCUUGAUCCACACUCGAUCAUCUGGGGAGAAUGGGUGAACUGGGGAGAAUAAGCUAACAGGGCAUCUCUCAUUUACCCAGGCUGAGAUUUUUUGUGUAACUUUUCCUAAGGCCUGUAGCUGUCGCUGUAACUCAAUUUCACCUAACUCUCAGGGAGUGCCUGGAAGUCCCCGCAAUAUAGGAGGGGGCCUACGAUAUAAUAUUUCAUAAGGGAAAUAUCCUGUUCUUUUAGAAGCGGUACAUCUAAUUUUAAAUAAUACCAUAGGGAGAGCCUGUAGCCAUUUUAAUCCUGUUUCCUGACAUACUUUCCCUAAACUAUUUUUGAUAGUUUGAUGCAUUCGCUCCACCUUUCCGGAACUCUGAGGCCACUAGGCAGCAUGCAGUUUCCAUGUGAUCCCUAAUAUCUUUGCCGCCUUCUGUACUAAGUCAGCCACAAAUGCUGGCCUGUUAUCUGAGCCGAUCCCUAAGGACAGUUCAAAUCUAGGAAUAAGAUCUCGAAGAAGCACACGGGUUACUUCACGAACUUUCUCAGUUCGUGUUGGAUAAGCCUCCACCUACCCAGAGUAGGUACGCCCAAGAACUAGUAAAUACUUGUUACCUCUACACUUUGACAUCUCUGUGAAGUCCACCUGGAGAUCUUCAAAGGGGGCUGCUCCAUAAGCUUGUAUGCCGGGUGGAAUAGCUGGACCUUGCCUCGCUUUAUGCUGUCGGCAGGUAACACACCACUGCGUCACCGUUUUGGCAAGAGCUGACAAAUGCGAGAUGUAGAAAUACCAGCCUAACAACUUUUCAAGUGAUUCCUGGCCUAGAUGGGUGGCUUCUUGCACAGCCAGUACAACUGCAGCUCCUAGCAGCUGUGGCACAGCUACUCUCCCAUCCGGUAACCGAAUUCAUCCUUCCUCCAUCACUUGUCCUCUCUCUGCCUGGAGAAAGUCCUUUUCUUCUUUAGAAUAAGGUUUCUCAACCAGGGGGUGAUUUUGCCCCCCAGAGAACAUGUGGCCAUGUCUGGAGACAAUUUUGGUUGUUGCAGCUGGAGGAGGUGGUGCUACUGGCAGCUAAUGGGUAGAGGCCAGUGAUGCUGCUAAACAUCCUACAAUUC